UGCCAGCAGCCGCGGUAAUACGGAGGGUGCAAGCGUUGUUCGGAUUUACUGGGCGUAAAGCGCACGUAGGCGGAAAGAUAAGUCAGGUGUGAAAUCUCGGGGCCCAACCCCGAAACUGCGCCUGAAACUGUCUUUCUAGAAUCCCGGAGGGGGAAGGGGAAUUUCUCAUGUAGGGGUAAAAUCCGUAGAGAUGAGAAGGAACACCGGAGGCGAAGGCGCCUUCCUGGACGGGUAUUGACGCUGAUGUGCGAAAGCGUGGGGAGCAAACAGGAUUAGAUA
rnacentral:rRNA from 1 species